rnacentral:misc_RNA from 1 species
GUGUAUAAGAGACAGCUUGGUCCGGAGGUAUGGCCCACACCUACCGGAGACCGGAAGUGCGAUGAGAAAUCAGCAGAUCUGGAAGAUCUUACGUAUUCAUCUGUCAGAUGGAGUAAUCAUCAAGAUUGUGGCAUCUGCGUUCAGCUGUGUGAAUGCCGGCGUUGGAACCUAGCUCACAACUCGCCAGACCACGACGUCCCUGACCUCGUGCUGCUGACGUGGCUCGGGAG